rnacentral:rRNA from 1 species
GAUGAACGCUAGCGGCAGGCCUAACACAUGCAAGUCGAGGGGUAGCAGGAUUAAGCUUGCUUAAUUGCUGACGACCGGCGCACGGGUGCGUAACGCGUAUGCAACCUACCUUAUACUGGGGUAUAGCCCGGAGAAAUUCGGAUUAAUCCCCCAUAGUACUAAUGAAUCGCAUGGUUUAUUAGUUAAAGCAUUGCGGUAUAAGAUGGGCAUGCGUCCUAUUAGCUAGAUGGUGAGGUAACGGCUCACCAUGGCUACGAUAGGUAGGGGGCCUGAGAGGGUGGUCCCCCUCACUGGUACUGAGACACGGACCAGACUCCUACGGGAGGCAGCAGUGAGGAAUAUUGGUCAAUGGGCGCAAGCCUGAACCAGCCAUGCCGCGUGCAGGAAGAAUGCCCUAUGGGUUGUAAACUGCUUUUAUUUGGGAAUAAACCUCUUUACGUGUAGAGAGCUGAAGGUACCAAAUGAAUAAGCACCGGCUAACUUCGUGCCAGCAGCCGCCGUAA